GGGCAUGUAGCGCAGUUGGUAGCGCGCUCGCUUAGCAACAAGUUGGGAUUUGAACCCUGCUUACGUAACUCGCGUGCGAGAGGUCUCCAGUUCAAACCCGGACUUGUCCA